rnacentral:rRNA from 1 species
GAUGAACGCUGGCUGUGUGCCUAAUACAUGCAUGUCGAGCGGAAGUAGCAAUACUUUAGCGGCGAAUGGGUGAGUAACACGUGCUUAAUCUACCUCUUAGAUUGGAAUACCUAAUGGAAACAUUGGUUAAUGCCGGAUAUGCAUGGAGUCGCAUGACUCCGUUGUGAAAGGGGCCUUUAAAGCUCCACUAAGAGAUGAGGGUGCGGAACAUUAGCUAGUUGGUGAGGUAAUGGCCCACCAAGGCUAUGAUGUUUAGCCGGGUCGAGAGACUGAACGGCCACAUUGGGACUGAGAUACGGCCCAAACUCCUACGGGAGGCAGCAGUAGGGAAUAUUCCACAAUGAGCGAAAGCUUGAUGGAGCGACACAGCGUGCACGAUGAAGGUCUUAUGGAUUGUAAAGUGCUGUUGCAAGGGAAGAAAAAGUAGUUGAGGAAAUGCUUCUACAUUGACGGUACCUUGUUAGAAAGCGAUGGCUAACUAUGUGCCAGCAGCCGCGGUAAUACAUAGGUCGCAAGCGUUAUCCGGAAUUAUUGGGCGUAAAGCGUUCGUAGGCUGUUUAUUAAGUCUGGAGUCAAAUCCCAGGGCUCAACCCUGGCUCGCUUUGGAUACUGGUAAACUAGAGUUGGAUAGAGGUAAGCGGAAUUCCAUGUGAAGCGGUGAAAUGCGUAGAUAUAUGGAAGAACACCAAAGGCGAAGGCAGCUUACUGGGUUUAUACUGACGCUGAGGAACGAAAGCGUGGGGAGCAAACAGG